UGGUCUGUGGCUCAGUUGGUUAGAGCAUUGGCCUUAUAAGCCGAAGGUCGUAGGUUCGAGCCUUGUCGUACCAU